UUAGAGGAAGUAAAAGUCGUAACAAGGUUUCCGUAGGUGAACCUGCGGAAGGAUCAUUACUGAAGUAUCAUAAUAAGUUGUUGCUGGUCUUUCAAAGGCAAUGGUGCACACUUGUUAUUCUUCAUUUCUCCAUCAUUUGUGCAUCACUUGUGUGGAUCACGGUUAGGACUGCUUUGCAAAGUUGCUAUUUGUGGGGCUUUCCUUGUAAUCUUUUGGUCUACAUGUUUUUCACAUACACCGAUGUUUAGAAGGAAAAUUUUUUUGAAUGAAUUGUUAUACAACUUUCAGCAACGGAUCUCUUGGCUCUCGCAUCGAUGAAGAACGCAGCGAAAUGCGAUAAGUAAUGUGAAUUGCAGAAUUCAGUGAAUCAUCGAAUCUUUGAACGCAUCUUGCGCUCCUUGGUAUUCUGAGGAGCAUGCCUGUUUGAGUGUCAUUAAUAUCUCAACCACAUACAUUUUGGCAUGUGGCUUGGACUUGGAGGAAUGUGCAGGCUCUGACUCUUGUAGUCUGCUCCUCUGAAAAAUAUGAGUGGUACCUAUAUUGGAACUCUGGCUAGGUGUGAUACAUAUCUGCAUCUAAUCAAGGUUACCUAUUUGGUUAUGCUGCUAAUUUAUUACAACUUGAUAAACUUGACCUCAAAUCAGGUAGGACCACCCGCUGAACUUAAGCAUAU
rnacentral:rRNA from 1 species